CAGUACCUCAAGUGGUCAGGAUGAUUAUUGGGCCUAAAGCAUCCGUAGCCGGCGCUGUAAGUUUUCGGUUAAAUCUGUACGCUCAACGUACAGGCUGCCGGGAAUACUGCAGCGCUAGGGAGUGGGAGAGGUAGACGGUACUCGGUAGGAAGGGGUAAAAUCCUUUGAUCUAUUGAUGACCACCUGUGGCGAAGGCGGUCUACCAGAACACGUCCGACGGUGAGGGAUGAAAGCUGGGGGAGCAAACCGGAUUAGAUACCCGAGUAGUCC
rnacentral:rRNA from 1 species